UUUGAACUUAAUGAAUACCGUAUACAGAUAGCGUAUUGCAUACGCCUAUUGUAAAGUGUCUGAACUGAAAUUCUCCCGCUAAUUUUGUUCUUUCUUCUUCUUGUUUUUUUUUCUCGGUUGUGGCGGUGAUUUUAUUUUUGAAUGAUUUCACGAUCUUUCAGUUCCAAGAAAAAAAAUGAGUGCGGAUUCCUCUAAUUCGAAACGAAGUUUCAAUUCAAAUUCUUCGAACAAUCAAAGUAAUAGCAGCAAGAAGAGGAAAAGUAACCAGAAAACCCUAGGCAUGGCUUGGGGCAGCAAUUCUCUAUCUUCCUCUCGCUCCUCUUUUCGCUCUUCUCCUUUCUCUGAUUUUGGAAGUUAUAUGGUAGUGAAGAAUAAAAAGCUUCAAAAUCAGUUUGAUGCAGAGGCUUCGAAUUCUACUCGUAGCGAUUCUUCUGUGAAACUUAUUUUUCACGGGGUUUCUAUAUUUGUUGAUGGUUUCACGGUUCCAUCAAGCCAGGAGCUGCGACAAUAUAUGUUAAACCACGGUGGUCGAUUUGAGAAUUAUUUUUCAAGGCAUAGAGUCACACAUAUCAUCUGCAGCAAUCUUCCUGACAGUAAAAUCAAGAAUCUCAGGUCAUUUAGCAGUGGACUUCCUGUAGUGAAACCUAUGUGGAUUCUAGAUUCUGUUGCUGCCAACAAACUUUUGAGUUGGGUUCCUUACCAGCUUGACCAGCUUGCUAACAAUCAACCUACAUUGUCAGCCUUCUUCACUACAAAAUGUAAACCUGCGGAUGAGGGUGCUUUUACAAAUGCUAUUUGUGAAGUAAAACAUGAAAAUGAGGUUUUAUGUUUGAAGGAUGCAUCAAAGGAUGCAAGUUUUUCUGAAGCAGGUAAUUCCUUUGAACGGAGGAAGCAAGCUACUGAAGAAAAUGAUGAGCUUAUGUAUGAAAAUACUGAUAAAACAGUAACUGAUGGGCCAAGUAAAAGCGAUAGUGAAGAACCUGAGGAAGUAAAGGUGGUAGAACAGAGUAAUCUGCAGGAGGAGGAUGAAAGCAUGGAAAAUUACAGACUUCAGUCCUGUCCUGAACAGUCCACUUCAUCUGUUAGUAGCCAUUGUUUUGACAAUCAUGGUAUAAGAGGAUCACCCACAUCAACAGUCAUUGGACCUUCCAAGCAUCGGCAUUCAACUCUUGGGGAUCCCAAUUUUGUGGAGAAUUACUUCAAGAAUUCAAGGCUGCAUUUCGUUGGAACCUGGAGAAAUAGAUAUCGAAACCGUUUUCCUAGUUUGUCAAAUGGAUUUACGAAGUCUCAUUCGAAUGUCUCUGCUGGUACUCAAAAGACUCCCAUUAUCCAUAUUGACAUGGACUGUUUUUUUGUCUCGGUGGUUAUCAGGAGCCAUCCUGAAUUAAAUGGCAAGCCUGUAGCUGUAUGCCAUUCAGACAAUCCAAAAGGAACUGCUGAAAUCUCUUCUGCAAAUUAUCCUGCUCGAGAUUAUGGAAUCAAGGCAGGAAUGUUUGUUAGAGAUGCCAAGAGUCUAUGCCCCCAACUUGUUAUUCUCCCGUACAACUUUGAAGCAUAUGAGGAGGUUGCCGAUCAAUUCUAUAACAUCUUGCAUAAACACUGCAACAGAGUUCAGGCUGUCAGCUGCGAUGAAGCAUUUUUAGAUGUCACAGACUUAGAAGGUAAAGAUCCUCAGCUUUUAGCUUCAGCAAUACGAAAGGAAAUAUCUGAAGCUACAGGAUGCACUGCGAGUGCUGGGAUUGCAGAGAACAUGCUUAUGGCCCGUCUAGCCACUAGAACUGCUAAACCAAAUGGUCAAUGUUAUAUCCAUCCUGAGAGGGUUGAUGAGUACUUGGAUCAACUUCCAAUAAAAGUUCUCCCUGGAAUAGGUCAUGUACUGGCUGAAAAAUUGAAAAUUAAAAAUGUUCGAACUUGUGGGGAGUUGCGUUUGAUUUCAAAGGACUCCCUGCAAAAAGAUUUUGGGAUUAAAACUGGUGAGAUGCUCUGGAAUUACAGUAGAGGAAUGGAUAAUCGGCUUGUUGGGAUGAUUCAGGAGAGCAAGUCUGUGGGUGCUGAAGUGAACUGGGGUGUAAGAUUCAGGGAUCUUCAACAUGCUCAGCAUUUCCUUUUAGACCUUUGCAAAGAGGUCUCGUUACGCUUGCAAGGGUGUGGGGUGCAAGGGCGUACUUUCACACUUAAGAUAAAAAAGAGAAGAAAAGAUGCUGGAGAGCCUGCAAAGUUUAUGGGCUGUGGAGACUGUGAAAACCUGAGCCAUAGCACAACGGUUCCACUUGCUACUGAUGAUAUUGAAGUGCUUCAGAGGAUUUCAAAGCAGCUCUUUGGAUCUUUCCACAUAGAUGUCAAGGACAUCCGGGGUGUUGGUUUGCAAGUUUCAAGGCUUGAAAGCGCAGAUAAUUCUAGGCAAGCACCUGAAAGAAACUCUUUGAAAUCAUGGCUCAUGUCUGCAUCAACGAGUUCAAAGCAACGAUUUGAUAUCAAUAGAAUAGCCAAAGAAUGUGUUGAUUCUGAAGGAAAGAGUGUGGGUGGAAAUUCAGGUGUGUUACGCAUUGCUUCAGGGGAGAAUUCUGUUCAUGAGACAAAUAAUGCACCUAAUGGUGAGGGACGUUCUAACCAGAGCUCAAGUGUCCCACCUUUAUGCCACCUUGACAUGGGAGUAGUGGAGAAUCUUCCUUCAGAGCUCCUCUCAGAAUUAAAUGAAAUUUAUGAUGGAAAGCUAGUUGAAUUGAUUACCAAAAGAAAAGUACAAGGUGACAAAAGCACUGGAUCUGCAUGCUUCUUUCCUCCUGAACGAGCCCAAGUAGAGGAAGCAGAAAGAUCCCGUAAUUCUGCUUCUGUUUCAUUGAGAAGAACAGCAUUGGAAAUGAAGGACACACAAUAUAUAUUGGAGGAACUGCAGAUGGUGCCAGACUCUGAGGCAAGACCCGAUAGUGUUGCAAUUUCCACUGCAGGACUUGAAAAUAACGAUUUAGUGCCUUCAUCUCUUAGCCAAGUAGACACAUCUGUGUUACAGCAGCUGCCUGAGGAAUUGAGAGCUGACAUAUGUGAGGCACUUCCUGCGCACAGGAUGCCAGAAGGUACUGCCCUGGGCCCGAGGACAGAUAACAUGCAUCCUCCUUUGGGCAUCAAGACAACUACUGAUAAUCAACCUGGAUCAACUGAUUCUGGUUUGCACAACAAUCUCUGGAUUGGAGAUCCUCCUCUUUGGGUUGAUAAGUUUAAAGUCAGCAAAUUGUCAACAUUGAAUUUUUUUGUUGACAUGUAUUACAAAGCAAAUUCAGCUAAGAGUUUAUCUUCGAUACUACAAUGCAUUAUUGCUGAAUCCCUACAUCCUUUAAAUGCAAGAUGUGAUGCUUGGAAUGAAGCUAUUCACAGCUUCAGUGAGCUUCUCAUGAAUUAUAUUAAACUGAAGAUGGUAGUAGAUAUUGAGGAGAUCUAUGUUUGUUUUCGUCUUCUAAGAAGGUUAAGUACCAAGUCACAGUUCUUCUUGGAAGUGUACAAUUUGGUCUUUCCCCACCUUCAGGCGUCUGUCGAUGAAAACUAUGGUGGAACCUUGCAUAUACCUCCAAUCAAGUAGUCCAAUAACCAUGGGACUCUUUAAAUGUCUACAUUGAUCCUUUCAUUAGCUGGUGCAAAAUGGGCUAAUCAUGAAAGAAAUUUUCACUGCAUUUCUGUAGUGGUUGUGGUUCCAUGAUUUAUAGGUUUGAACUAAUUGAACAACAUUCCAGUGGCUUUUCUGUUUGUUCAGCUCUCCUCGUGCAUAACCACAGAAAUAUGAUUCUAACGAGCUUCUACCGAUUAUUGGGAUAACAAAAGAUUACAGAUUUUUUAAGACCUUGAGCUAAGUACAUUCCAGCUGGGUAGUCAGAACCAGGUCAAGGCAAGACAAGGCAAGUUGAAAAAUACCGCCUUUUCUUGUGAGUUUCUCAUUAAAAAUAUAUUUAGUAAAAGACGAUUUCGAAAGAAAACUUAAAUGUAUCUUCUUUUUCAUUCCUUUUUAUGAGAAAAUACUAAAAAAUAAUUUUAUAAUUAUAUUUAGUUACUCUUAAAUUAAUAAAUUUUAAUUUAAGUGCAUGGUA